AUGUCAACAGACACAGAUGUUUCCCUUUCUUCCUAUGAUAAAGAUCAAGGAUCCAAACUUGUUCGAAAAGUUGAAGAGCCACCAUUUGUUCUCACUGGAAUGGCAGGCUUUCCAGCAAUUGUUCCAUAAGGAUUAUACAAAUGGAAGAGCAGAGGAAAUGCUAAAAGGUCCCUUCUCCUGAUCCACAUGUGUUGUAGAAGCAAUGACUGUUGGUAUGGGCUGUUCUGUGUAUUAGGAAUUCUGGGCAAAGCCUAAGCCUUGGAAGGAGGAUGCUGUCUUGAUCUUGUAA
rnacentral:lncRNA from 1 species